UCACAUACAAAAACAUAUAUGCGUCAGUUCAUCGUCCGGCAGCGAGACUUAAAAAUCUCCUACAUUAUACUGUUAAGAAUUUGCCACACACCACGCGCAUGCAUCUCUGUCCUAUUUCUAACAUCUCCUCAGUGCUUCUAAAUAUCUCUACGUGAUUUCCUUAUCAUGUUUCUUACGAUAAAUUGUACAUUCUUUAAAAUAUAUUCAUGACUGAUAAACUUUUCAAAUUAAAUUUCAUAUUAGAUCGUCGUGAUGUUGUUUUUCUCGCAAUGGAAGAUACUUCAAGUUUUAUUGCCAAUUUAAUUAAUUAAAUGGGAUAGUCUUUUAGUAUGGUAAAUUUCUCCUCUGACUAGAUACGACAAGAGUAAAAAGAACUUUAUAUUUAUACUUUUUCCUCUCUCGUUUUAUUUUCUUUCCGCCGAUGUGAUCAAGAAUACAUCCAAAACUCGCGGUCACAUCAAUCGCUCUUGAACUAAAGACCGUCAUAUUUCUGCCUUGAACACCGAUAUCUACAAAAUCGUAUAAAAUUCGAAUAUAGUUCGCGAAUACUUCGCGAAAUAGAGAAGCGAACACGGCUGUAUGGAAAGAUCGUGUUGAGAGUACUGCGCGAUUAAUUUCUCUCGAAAGAAGAAAAUAUGAAAGUGGAGGCUUGCCACGGACGUAUGAAAUAACAUAUAUGGAUUUUUGUCUGUUCAUAAAGGAGACACGAUGUAAACGCAUCAUUGUAUAAGCGUCCACAUCGGCGAUUGUACAUAUUGACUACAAUAAAGCACCUUUGUCGACGAACGUUUGUAACGCGAAUCUUCAGAUUUUUAAUUUUUAAUUUAAAACGAAGGUAUCUCUCUCUUUAAUAUCGAUGCUGAAUAGGUUGCUGCAUAUGAAAUGUUCUUUCAGAUAAAAGCUUUAUCGUUGUGUAGUUUCUAAAACAUAAAUAUGAUGAAAGUAAUUUCCACAUGAUAUUUUACUCAACGUGUAACUUCUAAGAAUUAUCAAUCGUAGAUUUAAUAGUUCUUGGAAUAUGCACUUCCUUUUAAUGCACAAUCCUUAUGCAUUAAAAAAUAGCCUAGUGAAAAAUUUGUCAGCUCACAAAUGUACAUGUUACAUGUACAUUACAAACUAGUCAUGAGAUAAUUAAUUGAUAAUUGAGAUAAGUAAAUUCUAAAAAGAUUCAUUUCAAUUUUCUUAAAUAUACGCGACUUACAGAAAUUACAGAAAUGGAUAUCUAAUUUAUAGUAAAUUAUUUUUUCUUUAACAUGACUGUUAAUUGACAAAUAGGCUAAGUAGUUGGUAUAACCCGCCAAAUUCAAACUUCUGUGAAAUGACAUUUCAUAUGCACCAACGUUAAUACUCGUUAAAAGAAUGUUUCAAACAUUUUUAUAAGAAAUAAAUGAAAAGGAAAUUGAAAAUUAGACAUUUUCGUUGAAACUUCGUUCUCCUAAACGAUAUUCGAGAAAAAAGCAAUUCGAUGCAAGCCAGUUCUUUAAUUUCCUCUAAAACAAGAUCCAUAUAAAACUUAGCAAAAAUUCGACUGGUUUACGAGCCGUUGCCAGCUAAGCAGAUAGAAUCUUCGGACAUUCCUCGUUCGUGUUAAUCACGGGAAAUAAAAAGCACAAUCGAGUGGCGUUACGCUCUCGUUACGGACCGAAGCACAAAAAAACAGGCGGCCAAUAAAAGGUGAACCGUUUUAACGCCUUUUGUUUAUUCAGCAAUACGCAACUUUCGCCGAAUGCGUCACGGAAAGGGUCGCUUUCUUUUCUACGUUUUUAUGAGCAGAAAUGCCGUUCCUUUCUUUCGAACGAAUACGGAAUACGUAUACCGUGCACGUCUAAAUUCGUGGUACAAACGAAGUCAGGAAGAUUCUAUAAAAUUUCCAUGAUUUUAUUGUUAAACUUAAGUCAAUUGCGUAUGAUAUCCACGGCGAACGAGAAAAGAAGAAAGAGAAGAAUGUGAAGGAACAACGCUUCAUAGCUGCGUUUUAACGAACGCGCCUGGAAAAGAAAUCUUUCAACGGAUCCGGAGUGUGCAAUUGUUUAAAAAUCGAAAGGUUUUUUUUAGAUUAAUUGAAUUUGAAAGAAAAUGUAUCCGACUUGAAGAGACGGCGUGUCUACUAUAAACGAUUGCAUACAAUUUGGGGAAAUGUUUAUUUAGAGCGAGUCAUGUGACAGAGAACUUCAGAAAAUUGGCUUACGAUUUCGACAAAAACAGCUGUGAAACUAUGAAGUUUAUUUAUUUGGUCAAUCAUGCUGUAUUAUGUAUGUAUAAGAUGAUGUUAUAUUAAAGUUGGGUUUAAAACGAAAUAUUUAAUAUAUAUCUCUUUGGUACUUUCUUACAAAAUUACAAGAUUGCUUUUAAAUCCAAUCCUAACUGUUAUAUGCCUUAAAUAUUAGAAGUUCCAAUUUCAGUACUUUUACGUCUAUCUAAUAAUAAAUGCUACAUACUUUCGUAUCACCUAUACAUUUCUUGGCAUGUUCUGGUAUUUACACGUGGUAUAUUUUACCGUGUUUCUACAUUUCUCAAGAUUACUAAUAGAACACAGACAUGUUGAACCUCGAGUUUACGAAUCAUCAAAGAACAAAACGAGAAACAGAAGUUUCGGUAAUUUUCUACUCAAUUGCAUUUUUUGGGCGUUAAAAAGUAUCAGAAGUUUGAGCAAAAUAUAAAAAAGUUCUUAGUAUUUCGUGGAUCUUUGUACAAUUUCCUAUAUUUACUAAACGUGAUUAAGGGAAAUGGAAACUACAUGUAGAUUUAUACAAAGUAUACAAAUCUCUCAAACAACACAUAUACAAUAAUAUAUACGACAAAUGUAGAAUGAUACAAAAUAGUGUUCAAAUACUACUUGGUUCCCUUGAGCAAUCGAUUAAAAAUACCAUUGAACGAAUAAAAAAAAAGAUAGUUUACAGGGCCACUGUAACAUAGUCGAUUAAAUACGACACACGUGCAUGUUCACUGACUUUUACAUACGUAAAGGCCACAUCGCUUCCCCACUAACCCAAUAAAAAUGUAUAGAUCGCAACAACGUUGAUACGUCCUUCUUCAAAAUCAUCCUAUGAACGAAAUCAAUAUAAAUAAUACCACGUCAGCAGUGACGUCUCAGAAAGAAGGCCAAAGAAGGCGAAGAAAGAACGCCAAAGAGAAAAGUAGGAUUACCUCAACUUUGUGAUAAUUUUAUCGGUUUCUCGGUGAUUUCUACGAAGAAGACGUUGAAUAAGUAUUGCAUAGAAAUAAUUUAAUAGCGAUAAACAAGUAAUCCAGUUUCUAGAGAGAGAUGGACGCGAUCAGUAGAGAUUCCCCGCGCUUUCGAGCGAUGGCAAGCGAAAAAUGGAACGAAGGACGAAGGAGAGACGAGGAAAUCUGAGCGGUGACUCGGAUAACGGAAAACGGUAUCCCCGUUCGCAGGAAUGACCGGCGUCGAUAUGUACCGUUGCGUCAUUUAAUGAAAUCAUCGGCUGCCAUGCGUUGCUCCUCGCAUAGUUUGAUUAUUCGAGCACAUCCCGGUAUCCGUGUGAAUGCUAGCUGCGGCCAAGGUGGGAGAUAGAGAAGAAGAACUGCUACGAGGUGAAAUAAAACGGAAAACGUAAUAUAUCAAAGGCUACGAAUAAUUCGGAGAACUUUGAAAUGACAUCGAUACGAAGAAUACCGAAAUGAUAAGAAAUUCAUCCAAAUGCGUUAGCAAGGUAAUGAUAGUGCAAUGAAAGACACGAUUUGAGAAACGGCGCAAGUUCACUAGCCGUUUUCUAAAUUUAUGUGCCAACCCACGGACAUUUCCGAGAUUAUUUUCAAUCGCGACUCGUAUUUCGAGACUGUUUCCCAAAUCGUCGAUCGGAAACGGAAGAAUGUUUAAAGAAUAACCGUGACUUUCUACCGGCGCUACAUGGUGUAUUUCACGAUCAUUGGUGAUUACUGUUUCGCGCGAAGGAGGGAAUAAUUCACAGUACACGAUUUCGUGGUUAAGGCGGCCGUAACUGAUGACUCACAUUAAUUACUGAAUGUUUUUCAACGAUAAUACAAUGGCAAAUAUUUCGCGAGGAAUUAAGCAUAUUAUUUUGCUGGAAGUAAUCGAACGAACGUGACCGGGUCUUAUUGUUAUAUAAAUAUUUCUAAUUUUAUGUAUGCAUCAUUUUUUGUUUAAAGAUAGCGCAGUACUACUAGAUUACUACGUAUGAAGUGACCGAUUCCGUAAAUGCGUAAAAUCAUUCAGGAUUUAAUGAUCGAAAGUAGCGUUAAAUAACUUCUUAAAAUUUCGUUGCCACUGCAACGAGACACGGUUACUAUGAUUAUUGAAUCGCGAAAUGUCCAUAAAAGCUGUCAAAUAUUUAUCACAAGUAAACACUGAAUAAAAAUUCUUCUACCAUAUGAAUGUAAUUUUACUAAUAUAAUCGUAAUAGUCGCGUCUCAUCGCAGUGCUAACGAAAUUUCAAAAUGCUUUGUAUAAUACACACACGAUGUAUCCAUAAAAUGUUUCUAUGAUAAGUAUCGAAAUUUUUUCAUGAGUCGUAAAAGUUAUUCUCGAAGCUAGUCACAGUGUUAGAAGAGAAAUCACAAAUAUGAAAUACUUAAAAAAAAAGAGAAAGAAAAAAGGAGCAAAAGUGAAGAAUUAAAAGUAUACACAGGAAAGAUAUAAGCUGAGCAGAAGAAGAAUUCUAAGCGACACGAUGGCGAAAGGUAUUACAACUAGGGUCGUGGACAUUCCAGUUAAAAGGCGUCUUUUUCAUGAAGCACAGCAGCCCGGAGCUGAAGUCCUUUUGUUACUCACGUUUCUCGGUAUGUCUCGUGAGGGCAUGCACGUACACACGUGGCACGAUGUGCCCCGUCUCUGGAUUCGAGGUUAAACGCGGCGGGAGAAGCGAGAGAAGAGAAACUCACCGGUAAGAGAAGUGGACGCCGCUUUACGAAAAUCUUUCAUGGUCAACGGGUCACCCACGAUCGUCAUCGCGUAAAACCAUGAAAGGAUACGACACAACGAACUGUUUAAAUAUUUGAAUCCUUACAUGGCGCGUUACGAAAUCCAUCUAACAUAAGUACUUUAACAUACUUUACGGUUGUACAAAUUGAAUAUCAAUUAGCUAGUGGCGAUUAUAUCGAUGAUACGUGUAUCAGUUGGUGAUAAUGAGAAAUACGGGCGUUUAAUCCUGUUCCGAUUUCAAAGAUGAAAUAGUGAAAGUAGUCGUUCGAUGCGAGCGAUUUUUCCAUCGUUUUCAUACUUUCUCUAUGUUCGUCCUUCUUUAGAUAAUUGGAUCGAUUCACGAAGAAGAAAAAAAGGGCAAAUAGCGUUUAAUCAUAGCGCUUGAGAGUCAUCCAUUCCUCCUUUCCGAGCACACAAGGAAGUAUAAUACAAAGAAACGGUAAUACAUAUAAAUCCAGAUUGGUGAAAUGUAAAAGAAAAAAGCGAUCGGGACAGGAUAAUGUCUAUCAAGAAAUCAAGGAGUUUGCUCGGAACAGCUUGAUUUCACUCAAACGACCUACAUUUUGCCCGUCUACUUUUGUGUUCGUGUAGCUAGACGAAGAAGCUGUAGUAACGAGUAACACGAAUAUUUAAUAAUAAUAAGUAAGCAGACUACGAAUAUUUAUGAAAAUUCAAAUUUAUGCGAAUAAAAGUAAGCGGAUAAAAAACCUU